rnacentral:rRNA from 1 species
UACGUAGGGAGCAAGCGUUGUCCGGAAUUAUUGGGCGUAAAGAGCUCGUAGGCGGUUCGGCAAGUCGGGUGUGAAAAUCCAGGGCUCAACCCUGGGACGCCACUCGAUACUGCUGUGACUAGAGUCCGGUAGAGGAGCGUGGAAUUCCUGGUGUAGCGGUGAAAUGCGCAGAUAUCAGGAGGAACACCAGCGGCGAAGGCGGCGCUCUGGGCCGGUACUGACGCUGAGGAGCGAAAGCAUGGGGAGCAAACAGGAUUAGAAACCCCAGUAGUCC